rnacentral:tRNA from 1 species
GCCGAGAUGGCCGAGAUAGUCAAGGCGCAUGUCUGAAAAACAUGUUAUAUAGGUGCAAUUCCUAUUCUCGGCACCG